GAUUAAGCCAUGCAUGUGCAAGUAUGAACCAAUUUGAACUGUGAAACUGCGAAUGGCUCAUUAAAUCAGUUAUAAUUUGUUUGAUGGUACGUGCUACUCAGAUAACCGUAGUAAUUCUAGAGCUAAUACAUGCAACAAACCCCGACUUCUGGGAGGGGCGCAUUUAUUAGAUAAAAGGCUGACGUGGGCUCUGCUCGCUGAUCCGAUGAUUCAUGAUAACUCGACGGAUCGCACGGCCUUCGUGCCAGCGAUGCAUCAUUCAAAUUUCUGCCCUAUCAACUUUCAAUGGUAGGAUAGGGGCCUACCAUAGUGGUGACGGGUGACGGAGAAUUAGGGUUCGGUUCCGGAGAGGGAGUGUCACGCCCAAUAUGCGACCCUAUCCAAAAGGAACUUGAAGGUCC
rnacentral:rRNA from 1 species